GGUGUGGGGCUGGACGCGGCAUCCUGGGGGGUGGCCUCGCCUCGCAGCGCGCCCUGGGGGCCACGUCGCCGCCCUCCCCCCCCCCAGUGUCACGAGGGUCCCCAAGGAUGCCCCCGGCGGCUUCAUCGGGAUUCGCGUGCCCGCCCGCGGAGGUGGAGGCCCAGAGCCGGGCCUGCCUGAGGACCUGGCUGCUUCGUGCCCCCAGAUAAAUGGCCACACUUGAACAUUUACCAAGGCACUUCAUUCAAAAUGUAAGACUGCUCCUCUGCCAGAAGAGUUGUCAAGAAAGCAUCUGCAUUCAUUAGAUGCUGCAAUGCGCUUCAUGGGGUUUGUAGGAUGCUUGACAGGAGAAAACUGCUGUCCAUAGAUGAUGAAUUUCUGGGUAUGUAAUGUAAAUAUGAGCAUGUCACUUCCCCUGAAUGACAACUUGAGCUAACUAUUGUUUUUAACUUUUGCAUGGUCCUCAAUGUUUCAGAAGUUUUUUGUUUUUGAAUAAAUUAUUCUUAAAACUGUG